rnacentral:rRNA from 1 species
UGAGGAAUAUUGGUCAAUGGGCGAGAGCCUGAACCAGCCAAGUAGCGUGCAGGAUGACGGCCCUAUGGGUUGUAAACUGCUUUUAUGCGGGGAUAAAGUGUGCGACGUGUCGUGCAUUGCAGGUACCGCAUGAAUAAGGACCGGCUAAUUCCGUGCCAGCAGCCGCGGUAAUACGGAAGGUCCGGGCGUUAUCCGGAUUUAUUGGGUUUAAAGGGAGCGUAGGCCGCCAGAUAAGCGUGUUGUGAAAUGUACCGGCUCAACCGGUGAAUUGCAGCGCGAACUGUUUGGCUUGGGUGCACGGUAAGCAGGCGGAAUUCAUGGUGUAGCGGUGAAAUGCUUAGAUAUCAUGAGGAACUCCGAUUGCGAAGGCAGCUUGCUGCAGUGCGACUGACGCUAAUGCUCGAAGGUGCGGGUAUCAAACAGG